ACUUAAGUAGUUUAAAAAAAAUUAUGAUUUGUGGUAUCAAAGAUAUAAAUAUAUAGAUUUAUUUUAAGUU
rnacentral:tRNA from 1 species